GAUGAAGAACGUAGCGAAAUGCGAUACUUGGUGUGAAUUGCAGAAUCCCGUGAACCAUCGAGCCUUUGAACGCAAGUUGCGCCUCAAGCCAUUAGGUUGAGGGCACGUCUGCCUGGGCGUCACAUAUCGUUGCCUGAUGCCAGUUUCCUCGUGAUGGGUGACUGUGCAGGGCGAAUGAUGGCUUCCCGUGAGCAUUGUUGCCUCAUGGUUGGUUGAAAAUUGAGUCCUUGGUAGGGAGCGCCGUGAUAGAUGGUGGUUGAGUGACGAACGAGACCCAAUCAUGUGAGACCCCUACCGAAUUUGGCCUUCAUAACCAACAUGCGUCUUUGGAACGCUCAUGACGAGACCUCAGGUCAGGCGGGGCUACCCGCUGAGUUUAAGCAUAUCAAUAAGCGGAGGA
rnacentral:misc_RNA from 1 species